rnacentral:tRNA from 1 species
AAUGAAGUGCCUGAUAAAAGGGAUAUUUUGAUAGAUUUAGUUAUGUAAAGUCUUACCUUCAUUA